rnacentral:rRNA from 1 species
ACGCGAGGAACCUUACCAGGUCUUGACAUCUCCUGCCAACCCUAGAGAUAGGGCGUUUCCCUUCGGGGAACAGGAUGACAGGUGGUGCAUGGUUGUCGUCAGCUCGUGUCGUGAGAUGUUGGGUUAAGUCCCGCAACGAGCGCAACCCUUGAUCUUAGUUGCCAGCAUUCAGUUGGGCACUCUAAGGUGACUGCCGGUGACAAACCGGAGGAAGGUGGGGAUGACGUCAAAUCAUCAUGCCCCUUAUGACCUGGGCUACACACGUGCUACAAUGGACGGUACAAACGGUUGCCAACCCGCGAGGGGGAGCUAAUCCGAUAAAACCGUUCUCAGUUCGGAUUGUAGGCUGCAACUCGCCUACAUGAAGCCGGAAUCGCUAGUAAUCGCGGAUCAGCAUGCCGCGGUGAAUACGUUCCCGGGCCUUGUACACACCGCCCGU